CGGGGCCGCCCCCGCCGGGGCAGCAGCGGAGACAGCCACCGCGGGCUUAGGGGUCCCGCCAUCCCCGCCGGCCGACGAUGAUGCCGCCGCCGCCACGUUCCCGCCACCGCCAUUGGGGCCGUUGUUGUCUUUACAGGUGGCUUGACUCCAACGCAAAGAAUUUACUGAAUAGCUUGACCAGUCACACACACGCAGUGCUAAGAGUCACGAUUCAAAGCCAUGUGCUUAGCCACAGAACCCGCGUCACUUGCCAGAAGGAGGCUUCCGAAAUACUAGUAAUGUUUGACUGGAUAGUGGUGAUUUUUUUUUUUUUUUGCAGUACUUUUGUAAAAAUGUAGCUGCAGGCUUAAAUAAAUUCUGUGAACAUUAUCA